AGUAGGAGUAUAGACAAAAACAAAGAAAAGGCUGCGCCACAAGGAAUAGGUAAAACCUGUUUUACCUAUUCCUUGUGGCGCAGCCUUUUCUUUGUUUUUGUGUAUACAUGCAAAC